rnacentral:misc_RNA from 1 species
UACUCUCACACUCUCUAAUUAGUUAGAGAGUGGUGGAUUUGGAUGCUGCCUGGUACUUACUGUCAGGCUCAUCUUAAAUGAAUUAGUGCGACUCUUAGUUAAACAUAGUACGGUGUGAUAAGUAACCCUCGCUGUUUUCUGUCUGAUUAGGAGCUCUGUGCUUCAAACCGUCUCAGGACAGUAUUCGAUA